GACGAACGCUGGCGGCGCGCUUAACACAUGCAAGUCGAACGGAAAGGCCUGCUUUCCCUUGUGGAUUGCGGGUACUCGAGUGGCGAACGGGUGAGUAACACGUGAGUGAUCUGCCCCCAACUUGGGUAUAAGCCUGGGAAACUGGGUCUAAUUCCCGAUAGGACUGCAGGGUGGUGCCUGUGGUGGAAAACGAUUUCCUAGUGGUUGGGGAUGAGCUCGCGGCCUAUCAGCUUGUUGGUGGGGUAAUGGCCUACCAAGGCGGCGACGGGUAGCCGGCCUGAGAGGGUGGACGGCCACAUUGGGACUGAGAUACGGCCCAGACUCCUACGGGAGGCAGCAGUGGGGAAUAUUGCACAAUGGGCGGAAGCCUGAGGCAGCGACGCCGCGUGGGGGAUGACGGCCUUCGGGUUGUAAACUCCUUUCGACCGCGAGGAAGCCACCUGGUUGGAAGGGUGGUGACGGUAGUGGUAGAAGAAGCACCGGCUAACUACGUG
rnacentral:rRNA from 1 species